rnacentral:rRNA from 1 species
GUAGGGAAUCUUCGGCAAUGGGGGCAACCCUGACCGAGCAACGCCGCGUGAGUGAAGAAGGUCUUCGGAUCGUAAAACUCUGUUGUUAGAGAAGAACACGAGUGAGAGUAACUGUUCAUUCGAUGACGGUAUCUAACCAGCAAGUCACGGCUAACUACGCGCCAG